CACGUAGAAGACUAGUGUUAUUCAUCUUUAUUAGGUUUAAAGGGUACCUAGACGGAAAAUCGAGCUAUAAUAAGUACUAAUUUUCUAGAGUUUUAUGAAAGAAGGGGUGAAUUUCCAGAGGAAAGUUGAUAUUUUGUUGAUACUGGAAGGACAGGUAACGGCGAAAGGCUACCUUUUUAUGUAAAAAACUGACGUUGAGGGACGAAGCCUUGGGGUAACGAGAAGG
rnacentral:rRNA from 1 species